GACGAACGCUGGCGGCGUGCUUAACACAUGCAAGUCGAGCGAUUCAAGUGUAAUAUGCGGGGACACAGUUUCCGCGUAUUAUGUUUGGAUAGCGGCGGACGGGUGAGUAACACGUGGGUAACCUGCCCUAUACAUCGGGAUAACACUGGGAAACCGGUGCUAAUACCGAAUGAAAUAUGCGAUAGGCAUCUAUUGCAUAUCGAAGGAUGAACUGAAAGGGGAACCGGUAUAGGAUGGGCCCGCGUCCGAUUAGCUAGUUGGUAGGGUAACGGCCUACCAAGGCGACGAUCGGUAGCCGGACUGAGAGGUUGGCCGGCCACAUUGGGACUGAGACACGGCCCAGACUCCUACGGGAGGCAGCAGUGGGGAAUAUUGCGCAAUGGGGGAAACCCUGACGCAGCGACGCCGCGUGAAGGAAGAAGGCCUUCGGGUUGUAAACUUCUUUGACCGGGGACGAACGAAAUGACGGUACCCGGGGAACAAGCCACGGCUAACUACGUGCCAGCAGCCGCGGUAAUACGUAGGUGGCGAGCGUUGUCCGGAAUUACUGGGUGUAAAGGGCGUGUAGGCGGGGAUACAAGUCAGGUGUGAAAUUCCGCGGCUCAACUGCGGGACUGCAUUUGAAACUGUAUAUCUUGAGUAUUGGAGAGGGAAGUGGAAUUCCUAGUGUAGCGGUGAAAUGCGUAGAGAUUAGGAGGAACACCAGUGGCGAAGGCGGCUUCCUGGCCAAAUACUGACGCUGAGGCGCGAAAGCGUGGGGAGCAAACAGGAUUAGAUACCCUGGUAGUCCACGCCGUAAACGAUGGAUACUAGGUGUGGGUGGCAACGGACCAUCUGUGCCGGCGUUAACACAAUAAGUAUCCCACCUGGGGAGUACGGCCGCAAGGUUGAAACUCAAAGGAAUUGACGGGGGCCCGCACAAGCAGUGGAGUAUGUGGUUUAAUUCGAAGCAACGCGAAGAACCUUACCAGGGCUUGACAUCCCUCGAAUUGCAUGGAAACAUGCAAGUCCUUCGGGACGAGGAGACAGGUGGUGCAUGGUUGUCGUCAGCUCGUGUCGUGAGAUGUUGGGUUAAGUCCCGCAACGAGCGCAACCCUUGUUGUUAGUUGCCAUCAAGUAAAGUUGGGCACUCUAACGAGACUGCCGGUGAUAAAUCGGAGGAAGGUGGGGAUGACGUCAAAUCAUCAUGCCCUUUAUGUCCUGGGCUACACACGUACUACAAUGGCUGCUACAGAGGGCAGCGAAGCCGCAAGGCGAAGCGAAUCCCAAAAAAGCGGUCUCAGUUCGGAUUGUGGGCUGCAACCCGCCCGCAUGAAGCCGGAAUUGCUAGUAAUGGCAGGUCAGCAUACUGCCGUGAAUACGUUCCCGGGCCUUGUACACACCGCCCGUCACACCAUGAGAGUCUGCAACACCCGAAGUCGGUAGUUUAACCUGAAAAGGAGGACGCCGCCGAAGGUGGGGUAGAUGAUUGGGGUG
rnacentral:rRNA from 1 species